AACGAACGCUGGCGGCAGGCUUAACACAUGCAAGUCGAGCGCCCCGCAAGGGGAGCGGCAGACGGGUGAGUAACGCGUGGGAACGUACCUUUUGGUUCGGAACAACUCCGGGAAACUGGAGCUAAUACCGGAUAAGCCCUAACGGGGUAAGAUUUAUCGCCGAAAGAUCGGCCCGCGUCUGAUUAGCUAGUUGGUGAGGUAACGGCUCACCAAGGCGACGAUCAGUAGCUGGUCUGAGAGGAUGAUCAGCCACACUGGGACUGAGACACGGCCCAGACUCCUACGGGAGGCAGCAGUGGGGAAUAUUGGACAAUGGGCGCAAGCCUGAUCCAGCCAUGCCGCGUGAGUGAUGAAGGCCUUAGGGUUGUAAAGCUCUUUUGUCCGGGAAGAUAAUGACUGUACCGGAAGAAUAAGCCCCGGCUAACUUCGUG
rnacentral:rRNA from 1 species